GUGGUGGACACCCAUAUCUUAACAGCAGGUGGGAGCGGGUAUCCACAGCCAAAGUUGAGCGCCCUUGCCGGCGAUCUCUCCAUUUUCAGCGCGUCCUGGAAUAGCAGCAAAUUUAUGCCUGCUACUUUUAUCUUUGAUCUACAACUUAGUGUUCUCUGUUAAAAUAUCUUCAAGGUAUGUGAUGUAUUUGUUUCACUUAUUGGUAAUUUGUGGUUCAUUGAAAAGUAUGCUGACAAGCUCGCCAAUUAAGAGAAUGUGGUUUGAUGUGAUUUUCCGAUUCUCUAUCUUUUCUCAUCCGUAUGUCCAUAUAGAAAUAAGCGCGGUAUUUCAUCUGCAUACAUAGGAAUGAAGUCCUUGAAUUGGUUUUGCCUUGAUGGAUUAUCACUUACCAGAAUAUAGCUUCCAACCCUCAGACGAUGACUUAUUCUUUUAGUUAUUUGUCCUAGAAUAGGAAUGCUAUAUAUCCAUUUAUUUGAUACGUUUGAAACUCUGAAUAAUAGUACAAUUUCUUUGUAAUUGAUUUACUAAUGCAAUCUUUAUUGCCUUCAUUCGUACCUGGAAAUUCCAAGUCUCAGUCUCAUUUUCAGAUGCCAUUUGGCUAGCUGGGGCUGCCCUUACUCUUAGCAUAUGUGUCGUUCUCUCUGCCGCUGCUAGGAGGCCCGGGCGGCGGUGUGUUCAUCUCCACUUCCUUCCUGACGGAGCGUUAAUGUUUCCUCCACUUUUUUGAAUUGAGGACAAACUGUUGUAGUCUUUCUUGGAUGCUAUGGUGACCCCAGCAUGGCCAUAUGGAAUCAGCCUGGAGUAUCCUUACAUGGUUGACUCGGUGUGCAGAUCUAUUGUGUAGUUUUCGUUUCUCUCAUGGAUGGAUUAUACAACAUUUGAUAGAUUAUUUUCUGGCACUAUUAUGUUCUACGGUCCCCUGCUUCUAAAUCCAAAAAAAUGGUGUACUGUCCUUAAUAUGGGUUGGAUUAUCAAAAGAACGGAAACUAUAAUAUAUGCUCAGUUCAUUCAUGUGAUUUUGAAAGUAAAUAGUUUGGCGCCACUCUGUAUGUACCAGCCUAGCAGAGUUUUGUAUGGAAGCAACAAGGUGAAGGACACUAAAGUGCAGCUGUGUCGGCGGCAAGCAUGGCGACCUCGGCGUGAGGCUACAGUCCAGCGGCCAGUAGGUUGUGCUUCUGUAUACGACAAGCCUGUGACGUCAAAGAUGAGGACGGAACAAGGAUGAGGUUCAUAUGUUUCUCAAGUACAAGGAACCCACGUACUGGGGAGAACUGUUUGGGGAAGAUAUUAGAGUGCAGCUUAUUGCUUGUGCAUCUCCAUUUGAGUUCUGCAACACAUAGGGUGUCUUCAUGCUAAACUAGGUCCAAAUACACUUGUAUUGUGAGCAAGAAAUUCUGAACACCUGUGAAGUGUGGGAUAACGUGAUCUGGUUAUGCAUUGAUUUUUAGUAUCAUCGCCCAACUCAACCUGUGUGUAAAUUCUGGUGGGGGACACAACCUCAUACUGAACAUAGAUCUUUCCUUACAUUUCGAUGAUGCCAGUGGAGGCUGGUUGCUAUCCUAAAGGAUGAAUGAGGUGAAGUGUUUAUGGUGGAGGCACACAGUUAUAGCCAUAUAUGAGAAGGCUUUAGCUUGAUGAAGGGACUUCUAAAUAUUUCGAAUAUGGGUGUUUCUUAACUUACUAUGAUGUAUAUAUUUUUGAUUCAAAGUAGAUGAGAUUGGAGAUUGGACCAAAUGCUCUAAUUUUGAGGAGAUAUUUGAGCUUAUUGUUCUUAUUUGCCAUAA